rfam:Ignavibacteria bacterium 13_1_40CM_2_61_4 13_1_40cm_2_scaffold_23400, whole genome shotgun sequence.
GGGGAUGAAAUGGUUUCGACGGGGAUGAGAAUGGCUAGGACUGCAUCCUGUGCUCUCCGCGUUGCACGCUAAUAAAGCGGAAAACUACAAGUGCAGACUACAACUACGCACUGGCUGCUUAAUUAAAGCAACCCAUCCGCUGCAGCUCCGCCCGACGGGCUGCGGUUGGGUGUCGACUUAGUCGGGAUAGCCUGGCAGGAUCCUCGGGCCUGCCUCGUGAAAGUCCUCUGAGGUAGGCUGCGCGUACCGCGUCUGCUCCGGUCACCGCAGAUGAGUUUGCAAGAGCAGACUAAGGAUGUAGAAGUCUUGGUGGUUUUCGCUCCGGACCGGGGUUCGAUUCCCCGCAUCUCCACGA